rnacentral:rRNA from 1 species
AUUGAACGCUGGCGGCAGGCCUAACACAUGCAAGUCGAACGAGUGGCGGACGGGUGAGUAAUGUCUGGGAAACUGCCCGAUGGAGGGGGCUAACUACUGGAAACGGUAGCUAAUCCCGCAUACCAUCGGAUGUGCCCAGAUGGGAUUAGCUAGUAGGUGGGGUAAUGGCUCACCUAGGCGACGAUGCCUCGCCGGGCGGAGAGGAUGACCAGCCACACUGGAACUGAGACACGGUCCAGACUCCUACGGGAGGCAGCAGUGGGGAAUAUUGCACAAUGGGCGAAAGCCUGAUGCAGCCAUGCCGCGUGUGUGAAGAAGGCCUUCGGGUUGUAAAGUACUUUCAGCGGGGAGGCGGUACCCGAAGAAAAAGCACCGGCUAACUACGUGCCAGCAGCCGCGGUAAUAC